GAGUUUGAUCAUGGNUCAGAACGAACGCUGGCGGCAGGCUUAACACAUGCAAGUCGAGCGCACAGUUUACUGUGAGCGGCAGACGGGUGAGUAACGCGUGGGAAUCUACCUUGAGCUACGGGAUAACAGAGAGAAAUUUCUGCUAAUACCGUAUGUGGCCUUUGGGCGAAAGAUUUAUCGGCUUAAGAUGAGCCCGCGUUGGAUUAGCUGGUUGGUGGGGUAAAGGCCUACCAAGGCGACGAUCCAUAGCUGGUCUGAGAGGAUGAUCAGCCACACUGGGACUGAGACACGGCCCAGACUCCUACGG
rnacentral:rRNA from 2 species